rnacentral:lncRNA from 10 species
CGCUUAUGGGGAAAGUGAGCUACUUGCGUUUCCAAAGACUGCCGAGCCGAAUUAGUCCCAUUUAUUUUUUGAAGGUUAUGAUCCCCCACUUUGCUUUCUGAAGGUCAUGACCCCCUUUUACUUUCUGAACGUGAUGACCCCUUUCCCAGCUCGCCCUCAACAUUCUGCUUGGGAAAAAAGGACGUCCAUUGGAAACGCCGGACUUGGGAGAGAGGAUCAGGCUACCAGUUGGAUGUUUACGGCUGACUGAGACAUUGCCCAGAGAAAGGGUGAAUGCCUCUCGAGAAGUGGAGCCAGUAGAACCUGAAAACUGCCACCUUAUUGAGGAACUUGAAAGUGGCUCUGAAGAUAUUGAUAUACUUCCUAGUGGGCUGGCUUUUAUCUCCAGUCUGCAGGUCUGUUGGAGUUUGCUGGAAGUCCACUCCAGACCCUGUUUGCCUGGGUAUCACCAGUGGAGGCUGCAGAACGGCAAAUAUUGCUGCCUGAUUUUUCUUCUGGAAGCUUCAUCCCAGAGGGGCAUCCGCCUGUAUGAG